UUUUUUUUUUUUUUUUUUUUUGGCUUUUUGCUAUUUCUUGGGCCGCUCCCGCAGCAUAUGGAGGUUCCCAGGCUAGGGGUCGAAUCGGAGCUGUAGCCACCAGCCUAUGCCAGAGCCACAACAACGCGGGAUCCGAGCCGCGUCUGCAACCUACACCACAGCUCACGGCAACGCCGGAUCGUUAACCCACUGAGCAAGGGCAGGGACCGAACCCGCAACCUCAUGGUUCCUAGUCGGAUUCGUUAACCACUGCGCCACAACGGGAACUCCCUGAGCCACUGUUCUUAUCCUAGGAGCCACUUGAAGGACACAGCCUUGAAAGAGCAAUUCUUUGUUGAGACCAUCUGGAUGGUAUGAGGGACUGAGCCCGGUUAAGGCCUCUGUAUAAACUUUACGAUCCUGGCAGGCAGGUGUGGAGACCUAAUUAUCUUGCAGCCACCCAAGAUGAGCCUUGUGUGUGAAUUCCCCUCCUUAUUAGAACAGCGCCUACCAGGCUGGAGCGGUCUGCCUCUUUCUUCGGUUUCUCUUUGCCCCACAUGUACGGGAGCCAGUUUGGAGCUUUACCUGGGGAACCCUUAAAACCUUUACCUGGGAAACUUUUGGAACCAGCAGUGGUAUUUCGUGAAAGCCUCCCAACCCAAGACAAGUUUGCACUCAAGGUGCCCACAGGCUGCCGUCAUUGGAAGGGAUGCCCAGAGUUCGAGGCUCUGCUUUCAAGACGGACCACUCACGUGGCUGCCAGGUGAGGGCGGGCUGUUGGCAAGAAGCUCAGUGUCUCACCUCUGAACCUCUUCAUUGGGCCACUCGAGUGUCCUCAAGACAUGACUGGCUUCCCCCAAAGUGAGAGUUCCAAGAGAGAGCAAGGAAGAGCUGCCCUGUCGUUCCUCACCUACUUUAGAAGUCAUGCACCAUCCUUUUUGCCAUAUCCUGUUGGGCAGCCCUCUGCAGUGUGGGGAGCAUUACACAAGGACACGAGUUACAAGAGUUGGGGUGAUGGGGCGCCAUCUUGGAGGCCGGCUCCCGACCUUCUUAUAUAGUUACACUUUCUUAUUUGUUAUGUGCAUUGUUCAUUGUCUUUCUUUGUCCACUGGCUACAUCUGAGAGCAGAUCUCUUUGUCCUUUUUUAUUUCCCAAGUGCCCAGAAUAGUACCUGCCACAUAGAGGGUUCUCAAUAUGUACUUGUUACCUUGUAUUUAUUUUAAUGGAAUUAUUUGCCCAGGGACUAUAGGGAUGAGGGAGACAGAGGCGUCAGUACCUCUGAGUUAUGCUUAUGAAACAAAAACCCCACUGCUUCUCCCGGUCACUUACUAGAUAAGCUGCGCAUUGGCUCUGAUGGCUUUCGUUAAAAAAACCAUUAAGGACCACCUGUAUUUCAGUAGCUAGUGAGAAGGAGUUACAGGAGCAUGCUGCUAUUCUUCCAUUCCACAGGAAACAAACUAAAAGGAAGCUCCUUAAUCCCUCUGUGCCUCAGUUUUCUCAUCUGAAAAGUGGGAAUGUUGCUGGCCAUUUUUAAGGAUUAAGGGAGAUAACAGAUACAAAGUAUUUUGAGAUAUAAACUCUCAAAAUAUGUGUUAAUAUCAUUUGAAUUUAGGAGGUGUUUGAUUCCUGAAACAGUGUGUGAGAGAGAUGGAGGAGCCCUCUCUGGGCCUUUGGGACUGCUGAGAGGAGGCAUGAGGGUGGGUUCAUGCUGGAAGUAUGCUGUGAUCCCACACCCUAGACUCACUGCCUAAAUGGACAUCUGCGAGUCUUCUGGUGGGCCACCCAGGAGUCUUCUGGGCACGUUGAGGAAGUGGUGGGGUCCAUCUGCACCUCCAGAGCAUUUUCCUUCAGAUCCUCCUAGGUGCAGCUCCUGGGCUUGUACCUACGGAGAAGGUCAAGUCCAGUCCCUGACCUUGUGGGACUCAGAGUCUGGAGGGAGAGGCUAUUGGGAAGGCCACUGGUUCUGGGAGAGUGUGGCCAGUGCAGAGACAAGUCCUAGAGCCUGGGGGCCAGUGGAAGGAGCUCAGAGAUGGCCCUUGAGAGGAGGUGAUACCACCUGCACUUUGGGGUUGAGUAGGAGUUGGGAGUGUGAAGGGUAUGAGGCUGGCAAAGAAAAUGUCCCAGCAGAGGAAACAGCCUUGGCAAGAGCCAGAAGCUACAGAAAGUGGGAUGUGGGGACCUGGGGAGGCAGAAGAGAUGAGCAGUCUGGAAUCUUAUCCUGUUGGAUGUUUUUGUCAUAGCCCUAGAAACACCUAAAGAAUGAGUUUGUCAGGCCUGUGAUUAAAAAAAAAAAAAUCCAAGGGUAGGGAGUCUCUGUUAUGGCUCAGCAGGUUGAGGACCUGAUGUGGCCUCUCUGAAGACUCGGGUUUGAUCCCUGGCCUCACUCAGUGGAUUGGGGAUCCGGCUUUGCCGUGCGCUGUAGCAUAGGUCACAGACACUGCUGGGAGCUGAUGUUGCUGUGGCUGUGGAGUAGGCCUGCAGCUGCAGCUCCAAUUCAACCCCUAGGUGUGGCCUUAAAAAAAAAAAAAGCAAAAAACAAACCUCCAGUGGCCUUCUGGAGGACAGGCUGGAAUGGGUGAGGCAGGGAGAGGAGAGAGGCAGUGGUUGGGGACCCUGAAGCCGAGGGUCGGAAGCAUGGACUGCAGGAGUCCACGGGGUGAGACCCAGGGAGCCUCCUGCCUGCGCUGAUCGGAAGGAGAGCCUGCCCUGUGGUCGGCUCGUUACUGCCAGUGGAGGAGGCCUUGGGGGGCCACACGAGUACCUGGGAGCAGAGAAGCACCUGCUUCACUUCUGUACCUGCUUUCUUCUCCUGCGAGGAACGAGACUCAUUUCAAAAGAGCUCGACCCCCGCCCGUUCCCCCUUUUCCCAUUUGAAAUGAAAGGACCUCUAUGCGCCCCCUGCACUCACUCUAUGCCUGACUCCGUGAACACCUGGGAUGAGAACGGUGGUCGCAAGAUUUAUGCCUCCUGGACACCAGAGCCUACCCGUCUUUGCUUCCUCAGCAACCUGUAGUACAAGGCCCCCUGAGCCGAUGAUCUUGGCAAAGGGAUGCAAGCCCUGUUUAAAACCCUUUCUAAGAGUUCCCAUUAUGGCGCAGCAGGUUAAGGACCCAGCAUAGUCUCUGUGAGGAGGUGGGUUUGAUCCCUGGCCUCACUCAGGGGGUUAAGGAAUCGGCGUUGCCGUGAGCUGCGGUGUAGGUCGCUGCUGUGGCGUGGAUCUGGUGUUGCUGUGGCUGUGGUGUAGGCUGGCGGCUACAGCUCCA
rnacentral:lncRNA from 1 species